rnacentral:rRNA from 1 species
CGAGUGGCGAACGGGUGAGUAACACGUGGGUGAUCUGCCCUGCACUUUGGGAUAAGCCUGGGAAACUGGGUCUAAUACCGGAUAGGACUACGGCCUGCAUGGGUUGUGGUGGAAAGCUUUUGCGGUGUGGGAUGGGCCCGCGGCCUAUCAGCUUGUUGGUGAGGUCACGGCUCACCAAGGCGACGACGGGUAGCCGGCCUGAGAGGGUGACCGGCCACACUGGGACUGAGAUACGGCCCAGACUCCUACGGGAGGCAGCAGUGGGGAAUAUUGCACAAUGGGCGCAAGCCUGAUGCAGCGACGCCGCGUGAGGGAUGACGGCCUUCGGGUUGUAAACCUCUUUCAACUACGACGAAGCGUAAGUGACGGUAGUAGUAGAAGAAGGACCGGCCAACUACGUGCCAGCAGCCGCGGUAAUACGUAGGGUCCGAGCGUUGUCCGGAAUUACUGGGCGUAAAGAGCUCGUAGGUGGUUUGUCGCGUUGUUCGUGAAAACUCACAGCUUAACUGUGGGCGUGCGGGCGAUACGGGCAGACUUGAGUACUGCAGGGGAGACUGGAAUUCCUGGUGUAGCGGUGGAAUGCGCAGAUAUCAGGAGGAACACCGGUGGCGAAGGCGGGUCUCUGGGCAGUAACUGACGCUGAGGAGCGAAAGCGUGGGGAGCGAACAGGAUUAGAUACCCUGGUAGUCCACGCCGUAAACGGUGGGUACUAGGUGUGGGUUUCCUUCCUUGGGAUCCGUGCCGUAGCUAACGCAUUAAGUACCCCGCCUGGGGAG